AACGCACAUUGCGCCCGCUAGUAUUCUGGCGGGCAUGCCUGUCCGAGCGUCAUUUCAACCCCUCGAGCCCCCGGGCCCGGUGUUGGGGACCGACCCAAGCCCCUCGCGGGCGGUCGUCCCUGAAAUACAGUGGCGGUCACGUCGCGGACCCUCUGCGUAGUAGCAACGCCUCGCACUGGAGAGCGGCGCGCCCACGCCCCCAAACCACUUUUUCAAAGGUUGACCUCGGAUCAGGUAGGAAUACCCGCUGAACUUAA
rnacentral:misc_RNA from 1 species